rfam:Triticum aestivum genome assembly, contig: Triticum_aestivum_CS42_TGACv1_scaffold_113098_2AS
UUGAUACUCCCUCCAUUCGGAAUUACUUGUCUCGGAAAUGAAUGUAUCUAGACGUCUAGAUACAUCCAUUUUCGAGACAAGUAAUUCCGAACGGAGGGAGUAGUUA